UACGUAGGGGGCAAGCGUUGUCCGGAAUCAUUGGGCGUAAAGAGCGUGUAGGCGGCUCGGUAAGUCCGCUGUAAAAGUCCAGGGCUCAACCCUGGAAAGCCGGUGGAAACUGUCGAGCUAGAGUCCGGAAGAGGCGAGUGGAAUUCCUGGUGUAGCGGUGAAAUGCGCAGAUAUCAGGAGGAACACCGGUGGCGAAGGCGGGUCUCUGGGCCGUAACUGACGCUGAGGAGCGAAAGCGUGGGGAGCGAACAGG
rnacentral:rRNA from 1 species